rnacentral:rRNA from 1 species
AUGCACUUCGACGGCUCCAAAAUGCUGGCCGGUCUGGGGGUUGGCGUCGUCCUGACGUCCCCAACCGGAGAUACAGUUCAAUAUGUAUUACAGAUACUGUAUACAGACUUCAACAAUGCAGCCGAAUACGAAGCCUUGUUACAUGGUCUUCGGAUGGCAGUUUUCAUGGGCAUUCAACGCCUGGAGGUGCGUGGGGAUUCGAACCUCGCAAUAUCUCAAAUAAAUGAAGACUUCGAUGACAAGGAUCCGAAAAUGGCGGCCUAUCGAAACGCCGUCCUAAAGAUGUCAGCUCAGUUCGAGGGGCUCGAAUUUCACCAUGUGAUCCGGGAAAACAAUCAGGCGGCGGAUAUCCUCGCCCGCAUCGGCGCAAAACGCGAUGCGGUCCCCCCGAACAUCUUUUUGGAGAGGUUGUUUAAGCCAUCUGUGAUAUGGGAAAGGGACACCGGUAACAUUAGUUCGGACCCGGCCAAAAUGCCUGAUACCGAACACUUUGACACAAUCGGAGGCUCUGCCACCGAAAUAUCACCUUCAGCCCACGUAAUAAUGGCCAUCAUCACCCCGUGGACAGAACCAUUCCUGGCCUACCUAACUAGGCAGGAACUUUCCGAGGACCAAAAUGAGGCACGCUACAUAGUGCGGCGAUCUAAAGCCUACAGGGUCCACGAGGGAGAGCUGUACAAAAAAAGCACUAUCGGAGUCCUUCAAAGGUGCAUCUCCGAAGAGGAAGGGCGGAAGCUUUUGACAGAAAUUCACGCCGGACUCGGCGGCCACCACGCCGCAGCCUGGGCCCUUGUAAGCAAGGCCUUCCGUACAGGUUUUUAUUGGCCGACGGCCCGGGCAGACGCACAGGACUUGGUCCAACGCUGCGCCGGUUGCCAGCUUUUUGCAAACCAAAGCCACAUGCCACCCAUCGCCCUCCAAACAAUCCCCAUUACCUGUCCCUUCGCGGUCCGGGGGUUUGACAUGGUUGGACCCCUUAAAGGGGGAACCCAUAAGAAAAAAUACUUACUGCUCAUGGUGGAUAAAUUCAUCAAAUGGAUAGAAGCCAAACCUGUUAAAACGGCCAAAUCCGGACUGGUGAUAGACUUCAUAUCCGGGGUUGUACACCGUUAUGGCGUCCCCCACAGCAUCAUGACAACGGCACGAAUUUCAUGA